UCAAUAUAUGAAAUGGGAAGUCGUGUUUGACUGGUCUAAGUUAACCAGAUUUCUUCUUUAAAAAUACAAUUCCAAAAAAAAAAACUCUAUUUUACCAUUUUCUCCCGUUUAAAGCAUCCAAGAAAGCAUAAAAAAAAGUAGAAAAAAUCCAUGGCGGAUUACAGAUCAAACUUGUACAGCGAUUCCGACAUGCAAAUAGAGCCUUAUUACCGGCCCCCAUCCGCCGGCGACUUCCGAUCGUACAGCACGACUUCGUACUACCAGACGGCGGCGGCGGCGGCGGCGCCGCGGAAGCUGAAGAAGGGGAAGAGCAUGGGCGCGUCGGUAUCGAAGUCGUGGAGCUUUAACGAUCCGGAGAUUCAGAGGAAGAAGAGGGUCGCGAGCUAUAAGGCUUACACAGUUGAAGGCAAAGUCAAAGGCUCUUUUAGGAGGAGUUUUCGAUGGAUUAAGGAUAGAUGCAAUCUUCUCAUUCAUGGAUUCUGAAGUUGAGUGUGAGAAACUGAGAGAGAUUUCAAGAUUUGUUGGUUUGAUGAGAGAGAGAGAGAGAGAGAGAGAGAGAGAGCUUUUGAUUGUGUGAAGUGAAAGAUGUAAUGUAAUCAAGAAGAAUUCUUGAGGUGAAUUGCUGCACUGCAUAUAGACUUUUUAAGACAUUGUGUGUACGAGUGAAAUAUUGGACCAUUUUUGUUCAUGUUGAUGAAGGUUAGAAGUAGUUUUUGGGGUUAUUCUUAAAUUAUAGCUCCACGAUCAUGACUUUUUUAGUUCGAAUUUAUAAAUAUUACUCCCUCCAUACAGUGGGAUAUUUAUCUCCGUUGUUCAUUUAAUAAUUCGAGUUAAAAUUUUCGACCAACUGAAGCUAAUGUGUAUCGCAGGAAGCUGAUCUGGCAACGCUGUCAUUAUUUUUAACGUAUACACCAUCUUUAUUCAUAUUUAAUCCUUCAACACUAGGUCGGCAUCCGCGAUGCACAUCAACUUCAUUUAGCUAGAAAUUUGAUUUUGACUUAUUAGGUGAACAAUAAAGAUUAGUACAUGUUAUAUUUGUAAAUUCAAACUAAAAAAUCACCAUGUAAUCAAAGCUAGGGCUAUAGUUUAAGAAUAACCCUAAUUUUGGUGGCCGUUGGACGACCUCGUGAUUGAAAGGUUAGGUGCACUGUGCACGUGGUGGUUCGACUGGCUCGGGCUAACCGCACCAUGGGCCCGGGGCCAGCUUGGUUCAGUGAGCUAUGUUUUAGGGUUGCAUUGUCGAUCAUGUCAAGCUAAUUUACUUUCAAUUAAACUAUUUAAGGUUUUUGUUAGUUUUGGUUUUGAGUUCAUGUGGUGAAUUUGGUUUGGAAUCAAGCUUAUUUCAAGGUCAUAUAAACCAUUGAAUUCAACUCAUUUGUUUCAUCUUA